UGCGUAGGCGGUCGGGUAAGUCUGACGUGAAAUCUUCAAGCUCAACUUGGAAACUGCGUCGGAUACUAUUCGGCUGGAGGAAUGGAGGGGAGACUGGAAUACUUGGUGUAGCAGUGAAAUGCGUAGAUAUCAAGUGGAACACCAGUGGCGAAGGCGAGUCUCUGGACAUUUCCUGACGCUGAGGCAAAGCCAGGGAGCAACG
rnacentral:rRNA from 1 species